GACGUAGGGCGCGAGCGUUGUCCGGAUUUAUUGGGCGUAAAGAGCUCGUAGGCGGCUCGUUGCGUCGGCUGUGAAAACCCGCAGCUCAACUGUGGGCUUGCAGCUGAUACGGGCGGGCUUGGAUUCGGUAGGGGAGACUGGAAUUCCUGGUGUAGCGGUGAAAUGCGCAGAUAUCAGGAGGAACACCGGUGGCGAAGGCGGGUCUCUGGGCCGUAACUGACGCUGAGGAGCGAAAGCGUGGGGAGCGAACAGG
rnacentral:rRNA from 1 species